CAAAAACGGGACAAGUUUAAUGGUGAAGAGUAGGAACUUGUUCCCUGGGUUUGUGCUGGAGCAGGGAUGGAGAAGUUACCCAUGCUCAGUGGUCAAGAGAUGGCUUGAUCCUGAAAACACUGGCAGAGAGACUAGAGGAUCCAAGACCUAAUUUAUUAACUUGCUCUCAAAGGAAACAUCAGUGGCUGAUAUGCG
rnacentral:lncRNA from 12 species